CCCUUAGAUGUUCUGGGCUGCACGCGCGCUACACUGAUGCAUUCAACGAGUCCAACCUUGACCGAGAGGUCCGGGUAAUCUUUGAAACUGCAUCGUGAUGGGGCUAGAUUAUUGCAAUUAUUAAUCUUCAACGAGGAAUGCCUAGUAAGCGUGAUUCAUCAAAUCGCGUUGAUUACGUCCCUGCCCUUUGUACACACCGCCCGUCGCUCCUACCGAUUGAGUGUGUUGGUGAGGAGUUUGGAUUGGCCUCGGAAGGUGGUUCGCCACCGUCCGUAGCUGAGAAGUUCUCCAAACCGCCCCACUUAGAGGAAGGAGAAGUCGUAACA
rnacentral:rRNA from 1 species